rnacentral:rRNA from 5 species
AACUCAAAGGAGACUGCCAGUGAUAAACUGGAGGAAGGUGGGGAUGACGUCAAGUCAUCAUGGCCCUUACGACCAGGGCUACACACGUGCUACAAUGGCGCAUACAAAGAGAAGCGACCUCGCGAGAGCAAGCGGACCUCAUAAAGUGCGUCGUAGUCCGGAUUGGAGUCUGCAACUCGACUCCAUGAAGUCGGAAUCGCUAGUAAUCGUGGAUCAGAAUGCCACGGUGAAUACGUUCCCGGGCCUUGUACACACCGCCCGUCACACCAUGGGAGUGGGUUGCAAAAGAAGUAGGUAGCUUAACCUUCGGGAGGGCGCUUACCACUUUGUGAUUCAUGACUGGGGUGAAGUCGUAACAAGGUAACCGUAGGGGAACCUGCGGUUGGAUCACCUCCUUACCUGAAAGAA